AUUGGUCAGUGUUUUUCAUUAAUAUCUCCUCAACGAAGCCUCGGACAACAUUUUCGCCAAGGAAAAAGUGUUUCAAAUCACCCCCCGAACCGCCCGUUUCAUGGUGUUACAACAUUUUUGGGACACCCUGUAGAGUCAGUAUUGCAUAUGGCGUGAUAUGGCCAGAUAUGGCGACGCCCAGUGUUGUAUUUUUCGUUGUGAUAUACACCUGUGAUAAUACUCUGUGAUAAAAAAAAUUUAUAAAUCAUAAAAUACAGAAGUAUUCAGACAGAUAAUUGACGACGAGACUGCUACUACAUAUACACUGCGGUGCAUAACUAUAGCACUACUAAUUUUGUUAAGAUGAGGAAAUAUACUGAAGUAGUCUAAGCAUAUAUUGAGAUAAAGUCGAAAAACAUUAUAGAAUCGGUGCAAAACUAUAGCACCACCUUCAUUUUCAUCACACUUCAAGCAUGUUUGUCAUAAAAUUUUCAUCUAAUUCAGAGUUUUAUUUAUUAAUUAAUACAAUGCCACGCGGUAAAUAUCUUGCUGAGAAAGAGAAAGGUGAAAUUUUAGCCUAUAACAAGCUAGAAAUGGGAAUUAGGGAAAUUGCACGUAAACUUGGGUGGUCCCCUAAAGUUAUAUCAAAUUUUUUACAUAAUCCGUCGAAAUAUGGCCAAAAUAAGAAAGGAGGACCUAUAGAGAAACUGUCCCCACGUGCUGAGAGGCAGAUUAUUAAAAUUGGGAGCAAUAGUUUGAAAAUCUGUCGGGAAAUUGCAGCGGAGUGUAAACUCGAAGUGUCACGUUAGACCAUUCAACGUGUCUUUAGAAGGAAUCCAAACAUUGUCAGACAAAAACUAAUUUCAGCAGCCGUUCUUUCUAAACGCCACAAAAUAGCAAGAAUAGAAUACACCUGCAAAAACAUGAAUAAAAACUGGGAUCAUCCUCUUUCACAUGAUACUAUUAAAAAUUAGAAAUUAUUAAUUAAAUCUACAAAACGCACGAAAAUUGUAGCGGUGCUAAAGUUAUGCACCGUAGUGUAUAAUAAAUUUAACACACGUGGAGUAUGAAAAAUCGACGACCGAGUUGAUUCGGGCCAUAUUUUUGGGAAAUAUUUUGAGGUAUGAAGUAUGUAAAAUAAAAAUGGGCCCCUGAUCCAAAGUUUAACCAAAAAUGUAAUUUGAGUUAAAAAAUUGCUGGUCAAUUUUAUAAAAGGUCGGAAAUGC